rnacentral:lncRNA from 1 species
CAAAUAAAUUCUAGUUUCUAAUUUUGAUUUUUAAUAUUUUUUAUUUGGUCAUUUGAUAUUUUUUUGUGAAUUUUCUCUUUUCUGGUUGUUUUUAAUUUAUUUUAAAUAGUUUUUGAUAUUCAAAAAAUACAAAAAUAUUUUCCCAACCUAUUUGAAUGAUGAUGGAUCUAUGAAAAAUAUUCUCACCAAUUUUUUAAUUGAUUUGAGAUUUAUUUGAGAUUUUAGUUCAUUUAGGUUAUUUUUAUUCAUUUUUA